UCGGGAAUAUUGGACAAUGGGGGAAACCCUGAUCCAGCGAUGCCGCGUGAAUGAUGAAGGUCCAAGGAUUGUAAAGUUCUUUCACCUGUGAAGAUGAUGACUGUAACAGGAAAAGAAGCACCGGCUUAGUCUGUGCCAGCAGCCGCGGUAAUACAGACGGUGCAAGUGUUGCUCGGAUUUACUGGGCGUAAAGGGUGCGUAGGUGGUUUUGUAAGUAAGAUGUGAAAAGCACAAGCUUAACUUGUGUAAGCAUUUUAUACUGCAAAACUAGAGUAUGAAAGAGGGAGUAGGAAUUUCUAGAGUAGCGGUGAAAUGCAUAGAUCCUAGAAGGAACACCAACGGCGAAGGCAAUCUCCUGGGUCAUUACUGACACUGAGGCACGAAAGCGUGGGUAGCAAACAGG
rnacentral:rRNA from 1 species